rnacentral:rRNA from 1 species
GGAUUUCUUCGGAUUGAAGCAAUUGUGACUGAGCGGCGGACGGGUGAGUAACGCGUGGGUAACCUGCCUCAUACAGGGGGAUAACAGUUAGAAAUGACUGCUAAUACCGCAUAAGCGCACAGUGCUGCAUGGCACAGUGUGAAAAACUCCGGUGGUAUGAGAUGGACCCGCGUCUGAUUAGCUAGUUGGUGGGGUAACGGCCUACCAAGGCGACGAUCAGUAGCCGGCCUGAGAGGGUGAACGGCCACAUUGGGACUGAGACACGGCCCAAACUCCUACGGGAGGCAGCAGUGGGGAAUAUUGCACAAUGGGGGAAACCCUGAUGCAGCGACGCCGCGUGAGCAAAGAAGUAUUUCGGUAUGUAAAGCCCUAUCAGCAGGGAAGAAAAUGACGGUACCUGACUAAGAAGCACCGGCUAAAUACGUGCCAGCAGCCGCGGUAAUACGUAUGGUGCAAGCGUUAUCCGGAUUUACUGGGUGUAAAGGGAGCGUAGACGGUUGUGUAAGUCUGAUGUGAAAGCCCGGGGCUCAACCCCGGGACUGCAUUGGAAACUAUGUAACUAGAGUGUCGGAGAGGUAAGCGGAAUUCCUAGUGUAGCGGUGAAAUGCGUAGAUAUUAGGAGGAACACCAGUGGCGAAG